rnacentral:rRNA from 1 species
GACGAACGCUGGCGGCGUGCUUAACACAUGCAAGUCGAACGGAAAGGCCCUGCUUUUGUGGGGUGCUCGAGUAGCGAACGGGUGAGUAACACGUGAGUAACCUGCCCUUGACUUUGGGAUAACUUCAGGAAACUGGGGCUAAUACCGGAUAGGAGCUCCUGCUGCAUGGUGGGGGUUGGAAAGUUUCGGCGGUUGGGGAUGGACUCGCGGCUUAUCAGCUUGUUGGUGGGGUAGUGGCUUACCAAGGCUUUGACGGGUAGCCGGCCUGAGAGGGGGACCGGCCACAUUGGGACGGAGAUACGGCCCAGACUCCUCCGGGAGGAAGAAGGGGGGAAUAUUGCACAUGGGGCGGAAGCCUGAUGCAGCAACGCCGCGGGCGGGAGGACGGCCUUCGGGUGGUAACCCGCUUCCGCCUGUGACGAAGCGUGAGUGACGGUAAUGGGUAAAGAAGCACCGGCUAACUACGUG